rnacentral:rRNA from 1 species
UACGUAGGUGGCGAGCGUUGUCCGGGAUUUACUGGGCGAAAGAGCGCGCAGGCGGUCGUACAAGUCGCGUGUGAAAGCCCCUGGCUCAACUGGGGAGGGUCACGCGAUACUGUUCGACUCGAAGGCAGGAGAGGGGAAGUGGAAUUCCCGGUGUAGUGGUGAAAUGCGUAGAUAUCGGGAGGAACACCAGUGGCGAAGGCGACUUCCUGGCCUGUUCUUGACGCUGAGGCGCGAAAGCUAGGGUAGCAAACGGGG